rnacentral:rRNA from 1 species
AGUGAACGCUGGCGGUAGGCCUAACACAUGCAAGUCGAACGGCAGCACAGUAAGAGCUUGCUCUUACGGGUGGCGAGUGGCGGACGGGUGAGGAAUACAUCGUAAUCUACUUUUUCGUGGGGGAUAACGUAGGGAAACUUACGCUAAUACCGCAUACGACCUACGGGUGAAAGCAGGGGAUCUUCGGACCUUGCGCGAUUGAAUGAGCCGAUGUCGGGUUAGCUAGUGGGCGGGGUAAAGGCCCACCAAGGCGACGAUCCGCAGCUGGUCUGAGAGGAUGAUAGGCCACACUGGAACUGAGACACGGUCCAGACUCCUACGGGAGGCAGCAGUGGGGAAUAUUGGACAAUGGGCGCAAGCCUGAUCCAGCCAGACCGCGUGGGUGAAGAAGGCCUUGGGGUUGUAAAGCCCUUUUGUUGGGAAAGAAAAGCAGCAGGUUAAUACCCCGCUGUUCUGACGGUACCCAAAGAAUAAGCACCGGCUAACUUCGUG